CGCCUCUAGUUGCCAGCAUUCGGUUGGGCACUCUAGAGGGACUGCCGGCGAACAAGUCGGAGGAAGUGGGGAUGACGUCAAAUCAUCAUGCCCCUUAUGACCUGGGCUACACACGUGCUACAAUGGGCGGUACAAAGGGCUGCGAACCCGCGAGGGGGAGCGAAUCCCAAAAAGCCGCUCUCAGUUCGGAUUGCAGGCUGCAACUCGCCUGCAUGAAGCCGGAAUCGCUAGUAAUCGCGGAUCAGCAUGCCGCGGUGAAUACCGGUUCCCGGGCCUU
rnacentral:rRNA from 1 species